UACAGAGGGUGCGAGCGUUAAUCGGAAUUACUGGGCGUAAAGGGUGCGUAGGUGGUGGCAUAAGUUAGGUGUGAAAGCCCCGGGCUUAACCUGGGAAUGGCAGUGGAAACUAGAGAACUUGAAUCUGGCAGAGGGGGGUGGAAUGCCACGUGUAGCAGUGAAAUGCGUAGAGAUGUGGAGGAACACCGAUGGCGAAGGCAGCCCCCUGGGCCAAGACUGACGCUGAUGCACGAAAGCGUGGGGAGCAAACAGG
rnacentral:rRNA from 1 species